rnacentral:rRNA from 1 species
AUUGAACGCUGGCGGCAGGCUUAACACAUGCAAGUCGAGCGGGGUGAUGGUGCUUGCACUAUCACCUAGCGGCGGACGGGUGAGUAAUGCUUAGGAAUCUGCCUAUUAGUGGGGGACAACAUUUCGAAAGGAAUGCUAAUACCGCAUACGUCCUACGGGAGAAAGCAGGGGAUCUUCGGACCUUGCGCCAAUAGAUGAGCCUAAGUCGGAUUAGCUAGUUGGUGGGGUAAAGGCCUACCAAGGCGACGAUCUGUAGCGGGUCUGAGAGGAUGAUCCGGCACACUGGGACUGAGAAACGGCCCAGACUCCUACGGGAGGCAGCAGUGGGGAAUAUUGGACAAUGGGCGCAAGCCUGAUCCAGCCAUGCCGCGUGUGUGAAGAAGGCCUUAUGGUUGUAAAGCACUUUAAGCGAGGAGGAGGCUACUUUAGAUAAUACCUAGAGAUAGUGGACGUUACUCGCAGAAUAAGCACCGGCUAACUCUGUGCCAGCCGCCGCCGUAACAC